UACGGAGGGUGCAAGCGUUAAUCGGAAUUACUGGGCGUAAAGCGCACGUAGGCGGUUCGUUAAGUUGGAUGUGAAAGCCCCGGGCUCAACCUGGGAAUUGCAUUCAAAACUGGCAGACUAGAGUAUGUGAGAGGGGGGUAGAAUUCCAAGUGUAGCGGUGAAAUGCGUAGAGAUUUGGAGGAAUACCAGUGGCGAAGGCGGCCCCCUGGCACAAUACUGACGCUGAGGUGCGAAAGCGUGGGGAUCAAAC
rnacentral:rRNA from 1 species